GACGAACGCUGGCGGCGUGCUUAACACAUGCAAGUCGAACGGAAAGGCCCUGCUUUUGUGGGGUGCUCGAGUGGCGAACGGGUGAGUAACACGUGAGUAACCUGCCCUUGACUUUGGGAUAACUUCAGGAAACUGGGGCUAAUACCGGAUAGGAGCUCCUGCUGCAUGGUGGGGGUUGGAAAGUUUCGGCGGUUGGGGAUGGACUCGCGGCUUAUCAGCUUGUUGGUGGGGUAGUGGCUUACCAAGGCUUUGACGGGUAGCCGGCCUGAGAGGGUGACCGGCCACAUUGGGAAUGAGAUACGGCCCAGACUCCCACGGGAGGCAGCAGUGGGGAAUAUUGCACAAUGGGCGGAAGCCUGAUGCAGCAACGCCGCGUGCGGGAUGACGGCCUUCGGGUUGGAAACCGCUUUCGCCUGUGACGAAGCGGGAGUGACGGUAAUGGGUAAAGAAGCACCGGCUAACUACGUG
rnacentral:rRNA from 1 species